rnacentral:rRNA from 175 species
UUAAAUUGAAGAGUUUGAUCAUGGCUCAGAUUGAACGCUGGCGGCAGGCCUAACACAUGCAAGUCGAACGGUAACAGGAAGCAGCUUGCUGCUUUGCUGACGAGUGGCGGACGGGUGAGUAAUGUCUGGGAAACUGCCUGAUGGAGGGGGAUAACUACUGGAAACGGUGGCUAAUACCGCAUAACGUCGCAAGACCAAAGAGGGGGACCUUCGGGCCUCUUGCCAUCAGAUGUGCCCAGAUGGGAUUAGCUUGUUGGUGAGGUAACGGCUCACCAAGGCGACGAUCCCUAGCUGGUCUGAGAGGAUGACCAGCCACACUGGAACUGAGACACGGUCCAGACUCCUACGGGAGGCAGCAGUGGGGAAUAUUGCACAAUGGGCGCAAGCCUGAUGCAGCCAUGCCGCGUGUAUGAAGAAGGCCUUCGGGUUGUAAAGUACUUUCAGCGGGGAGGAAGGUGUUGUGGUUAAUAACCGCAGCAAUUGACGUUACCCGCAGAAGAAGCACCGGCUAACUCCGUGCCAGCAGCCGCGGUAAUACGGAGGGUGCAAGCGUUAAUCGGAAUUACUGGGCGUAAAGCGCACGCAGGCGGUCUGUCAAGUCGGAUGUGAAAUCCCCGGGCUCAACCUGGGAACUGCAUUCGAAACUGGCAGGCUUGAGUCUUGUAGAGGGGGGUAGAAUUCCAGGUGUAGCGGUGAAAUGCGUAGAGAUCUGGAGGAAUACCGGUGGCGAAGGCGGCCCCCUGGACAAAGACUGACGCUCAGGUGCGAAAGCGUGGGGAGCAAACAGGAUUAGAUACCCUGGUAGUCCACGCCGUAAACGAUGUCUACUUGGAGGUUGUGCCCUUGAGGCGUGGCUUCCGGAGCUAACGCGUUAAGUAGACCGCCUGGGGAGUACGGCCGCAAGGUUAAAACUCAAAUGAAUUGACGGGGGCCCGCACAAGCGGUGGAGCAUGUGGUUUAAUUCGAUGCAACGCGAAGAACCUUACCUGGUCUUGACAUCCACAGAAGAAUCCAGAGAUGGAUUUGUGCCUUCGGGAACUGUGAGACAGGUGCUGCAUGGCUGUCGUCAGCUCGUGUUGUGAAAUGUUGGGUUAAGUCCCGCAACGAGCGCAACCCUUAUCCUUUGUUGCCAGCGGUUAGGCCGGGAACUCAAAGGAGACUGCCAGUGAUAAACUGGAGGAAGGUGGGGAUGACGUCAAGUCAUCAUGGCCCUUACGACCAGGGCUACACACGUGCUACAAUGGCGCAUACAAAGAGAAGCGACCUCGCGAGAGCAAGCGGACCUCAUAAAGUGCGUCGUAGUCCGGAUUGGAGUCUGCAACUCGACUCCAUGAAGUCGGAAUCGCUAGUAAUCGUGGAUCAGAAUGCCACGGUGAAUACGUUCCCGGGCCUUGUACACACCGCCCGUCACACCAUGGGAGUGGGUUGCAAAAGAAGUAGGUAGCUUAACCUUCGGGAGGGCGCUUACCACUUUGUGAUUCAUGACUGGGGUGAAGUCGUAACAAGGUAACCGUAGGGGAACCUGCGGUUGGAUCACCUCCUUACCUUAAAGAA